AAGGGGACCACAAGAACGGGAGGGGCUGGCUUAAUUUGACUCAACGCGGGAAAACUUACGGGACCGAACACACUGAGGAUUGACAGGCGAUAAAUUAUGCUAGUCCUUUCAUGAUUGUGUGAUAGGGGGGGCUUGUCCCGUUCUUAGUUCGUGGAGUGAUCUGUCUGCUUAAUUGCGUUUCAAAUAAAAAGUGCCGAUCGCUCUGUGAGGAAUGUUGUCUACGGGCACUUAUCGCGCAGGCACGGGCCUUUGAAGGCAACGAACGUGACCG
rnacentral:rRNA from 1 species